UACGUAGGGUGCGAGCGUUAAUCGGAAUUACUGGGCGUAAAGCGUGCGCAGGCGGUUCGUUGUGUCGGUGGUGAAAGCCCCGGGCUCAACCUGGGAAUGGCCAUGGAAACUGGCGAACUGGAGUGUGGCAGAGGGGGGUGGAAUUCCGCGUGUAGCAGUGAAAUGCGUAGAGAUGCGGAGGAACACCGAUGGCGAAGGCAGCCCCCUGGACCUGUACUGACGCUCAUGCACGAAAGCGUGGGGAGCAAACAGG
rnacentral:rRNA from 1 species